ensembl:lncRNA
AAAAAAGGCACUGACCUUUAAAUCUGCCAUUGAUAAAUGCGCACUCCCUCCCAAAAAGAAAAAAAGUCACGUUGGCAUCUCCUCUACCCUGGAUCUUUGAAUAUUCAUCAGGCUCUUGAGAGGUGCUGAACCAUCCAAUCACAUCCAGACGAAGGGAAGCCCUCGGCUUUGGACUGCCUUAACGCUCUGCACCUGAACCGGAGCUGACGGGUUAAUCAAUGUGGUGAUCAAUUCGCAACUGGGUGGACGGCAUACCACAACCACAUUCAGCCGGAUUCCCCACAAUCCUCUGGAAAUGUGUUUGGCAUUCCAGCUCUGGGUAUAAGUGGCCAUCAUCUCACCGCAUCCAAUACCUGAACACAACCCAGUUCAACCCAACGUCCCUGUUCUCUUUGCUCGGGAAGGGCCGUGAUUUAGCAGGUUUGGACAGUGAGCGAGCUCUAAGAGACGUUUGCCUCUCUUUCCAGCAUCCUGACUUUGAUACUGGGUUUAAUUCUAAUGGCGCAACACAUCCAAUCCGGUUAUGGGUUUCAGGCCGCUGGAGCAUGGAGGCGGCAUGUCCAUCUUUAAUCCCAAUCAGACGUGCUUGACUCAGGAUGUGAAGCCGGCCCACUGGUACUGCAUGGGAUUGCUGAUAAAGGAUAAUUCUGGUCCUGUUUGAAUAGGACACAUGGAGCGACUCUCCGUCAGUCAGACAGGGACCCUCGACUGAAGCUUUCUGGAGCUCAAGUUGUGCCAGAAACAUUCAGUGUACUUCAAUCACACACUCUCAUCAUUCCUUUCAUACCAGCAUGCAUUUCUGUGGCUCUUCCAGCCUUAACAGAAUAAAUGGAAGAGACUAUUGUUUCUGUAGAUUAUG